CGCGGGCCGUGAGGGCGCGCGCACUGGGGCGGGGCUAGGCUGGCCGCCUGCGGUGCUGUCCCAAGUUACGCUUGUGGCGAGGUGCACUGAAAUCGGGACCUCCCCAGUCGAGAACGCCCGGCGGCCGGCGGGUGUGAGGGGUGGGCGAAGAUUCUAGAAGCCGGGAGGACCCCUCCCCACCCCUGGGAUCCCCGCUGAUGCUCCCCGCCGCUCCGGGGUCUUGGCUGGCUACUCGACAAGGCCCCAGGCUGCGCCCCUCGCCCCUGCCCGAGGCGGCGCCCACCUGCUGCGCGCUGGCCGCCUCGCCUGCGCCGGGCACCUGCGCUCGCUGGGGGCGGCCGGGGGCGCGGGGCUCCACGUCGGGAGCUGUGGGACUUCCGGUCGCCUGCGUUGUUAGCUGUGGGCUGUCCACGGUCUGUGCCGCUCCCCGCUGAGACAGGACGCAGCGCACCCAGGCCUCCGCUCACCUCUCCCUUUCCGCUCCCUGCUGGCUGUUGGGCCGGGGGCGCAAGGAGGGAGCUCGGUGUGUCCUGCGGUCACGGUCACGCGCGGCUCCAACAGAGCCUGGCUGAGAGGGCGCCCUGUCGGCCCUCCCCGGUCUCCCUCCCAGCCUGCUGUCCGCCCCGCUCUCAGAUCCUUUCCUUGGGCUUUGCUCUGGGGCAUCCGGGACUGGGACUGCCCGGCACCAGGUCAGCGGGGGCCGGCGGCCCUGGGGGCGCCGGGAGUCCCUGGCACGGCCUCCCAGCUGUGCUGAGUGGCGGUGGGCGGUGGGGCCUCCCAGCUGUGCUGAGUGGCGGUGGGCGGUGGGUGGAGAAGGAGGCGCUGACUUUGGCCGCAGCUCUGGCUCCUGCAGACACGCAGACAACGGUGAUAUUCAAGACUGGAGUCUCUGUUCUGUAAACCGGUACCAGAGGAAAACAUGCAGGGGCUCAAGUCGGCCGAGUCCACCCUAGGCCACCUUCCUACGCCCAGGACGUCACCCUGGUGGCCUGGAGUCAGCGCUGCCGCCGUGGGAAUCGGCAGAUCCGUCAAAGCGAAGCCGGAACUCAGAGCCAAGGCGUCCCCUGGAGCCCCACCGCGUCCAGCGGACCUGAAUCUGAAUCUUAACACUUGAAGCCCCCAGACCAGGGCUGGGCAGCGUCCGGCCUGCGGGCCAGAGGAGACCACGGGACCUGGCCAGACCAAAGCCGCUGCAGGCAAGACAGAAGUGCGGUACAGCUGCUCUUUUUUAUUUAUUUAUUUUUAUUUUUUCAUUAUUUAUUUAUUUAUUUAUUUAUUUUGACAGGCAGAGUGGACAGUGAGAGAGACAGAGAGAAAGGUCUUCCUUUGCCGUUGGUUCACCCUCCAAUGGCCGCCGCGGCUGGCGCACCGCGCUGAUCCGAUGGCAGGAGCCAGGAGCCAGGUGCUUUUCCUGGUCUCCCAUGGGGUGCAGGGCCCACGCACUUGGGCCAUCCUCCACUGCACUCCCGGGCCACAGCAGAGAGCUGGCCUGGAAGAGGGGCAACCGGGACAGAAUCCGGCGCCCCGACCGGGACUAGAACCCGGUGUGCCGGCGCCGCAAGGCAGAGGAUUAGCCUAGUGAGCUGCGGCGCCGGCCACAGCUGCUCUUUAAGCCCAUCGUUUUGUACGGUCCACGAGUGAUGUUAUAAAUACCCAAGUGGCCCUUGGCCAAAAACAACUGGUCCCCACCCCAUUCUAGACGUUUCCAACCUUCCGCCUUCUCAGCUGUGGGAUAGUAGGCUACCUCACAGAGGUCGUGGAUUGGUUGGAAAUUAGCCGUGUUCUUGAGGUUGGGGAGGGACCCAUAAGAAGGCAGCGGGGGCUUGGGGACCAUCAGGGAAGAUGGGUGGACAGACCUGGGGAGAGGGGAGACCCAUGGAGUGGGUGGGGUUAAACCAAGGGGAGACGGCGCUGUGGGCCUGAGGGGAACAGCAGUCCAGAGAGGCGGUCAGAUGUGGCGGUGAUGGCUGAUUUGAGGACGGUCUGAAUCCACUUAACUCCUUAAACCUGGGGAGGGAGGGCUCUUCCUGCCGAGGGCCCUCUGCAUGUAACAUCAUCCGUGGGGCCAUGCAACACCCUCAACUUAAAGAACAGCUGGGUGUAGCCUGGACAGUUACCUUGGCAGGGCCAGUCCAGGGAUGUCCCAGCCUUGUAUGGCCCAUGCUUUGCUUCUCCCCAGCCCCGCCUCGGGCGGAACACGCGCUGUGUCUGGGCCUCAGGAGACAGACACGAAGCCUCGUCCUGCAGCCCAGCCCAGCCCCAGAUUCGGAGGAGCUGGAAGCCCCAGGAUACACUGCCAUCCCGCAGGUGGGGGCGGGGGAGUCGGAAGACUCAGAACGAGGUUCCCGGGGAGGAAGGGGGAGCCGCUGGUCCUCAUCGCGGGUGACCACAUGUCUGGGCACCCCAUGGCCCCCUAACCUUGACCAUCCCAUAUGCGUCACUGGAUUGUGACGGGACUGGUGCAAUGCGCUUCCGGCCUGCCGCUGGCUGUCCUUGGAAUAGGACACCACCGUUCCUCUUCUGUCACCAAACUGAGAAUCCAGCUCGAGUCCCGGAGCUCGCCUGGGGUCAGCCCCGCGCUCUUGGGAGGUCCGGGUUGGGGCAGGUAGGACGCAGAGCUGACCAGGGCCUCUGCCACCCGUGUUCCCCUGGGCUGUGCAGGAGACAGCAGCACGCUGGGAAACGUGGCAUAGUUGCCACGGCACUGGAACUGCUCAGUCCACUGUUCCCACGAGGACAUGUCGAGGCCAGGCAUGGCCCUGAGAGCCACGGUCCCUGGGUGCUGGUGGCCACAGCAAGUUUCCCAUUCAAAACCGGGAGUGAAGCUGGCUGUAGUGUGUGCAGUCCGUGUCACACGUAGCACAAACAGACGGGAGCUGCCAGUUGUCUGGAAUACACAGCCCAAAUUUGCUGUCCCCGUGCCUCUGAGCCAACUUACUUUUUUAAAUGCCACCAUUUUUCUUUAAAAAUAAAUAAAAGGUUUUUUUUUAUUUUGAAAGAGAGAGAGAGAGAGAGGAUCCAUCCAACAGUUCAUUCCCCAAAUGCUUCUAAGUGCCCACGGGUAUGGGUCAGGCCCCAGCCUGGAGCCAGGCAAUCCGGACCCCGCGGGGGCAGGGACCCAGCCUGGAGCCAGGCAAUCCUGAUCCCCCCCCGCGGUGGCAGGGACCCAGCCUGGAGCCAGGAAAUCCGGACCCCCCGCGAUGGCAGGGACCCAGCCUGGAGCCAGGCAAUCCGGACCCCCCGCGGUGGCAGGGACCCAGCCUGGAGCCAGGCAAUCCGGACCCCCCCACGGUGGCAGGGACCCAGCCUGGAGCCAGGCAAUCCUGAUCCCCCCGCGGUGGCAGGGACCCAGCCUGGAGCCAGGCAAUCCGGACCCCCCCACGGUGGCAGGGACCCAGCCUGGAGCCAGGCAAUCCUGAUCCCCCCGCGGUGGCAGGGACCCAGCCUGGAGCCAGGCAAUCCGGACCCCCCGCGGUGGCAGGGACCCAGCCUGGAGCCAUCACCACCGCCUUCCAGGGUGCAGAGUGGUGGAAGCUGGACCCGCAUGUGGGGCCAGGACCCUGGCAGGCAGUGUGGGUGGCGGGGUCUUGGCUGCUGUAACCCCGUGUUUCCUGUGAGACAAGCCAUACUCGGAGAGCCCGGGCGGUGUGUCCACGGUGCCAUGGCGAAGCCGAGAGGAACCACCCACGCGUGUUGGCGCCCACCUCACCUCGUGCCGUGGUGAGCGUUUGCUCCCUCCCGAGAUUCAUGGAGUCCGUUGUCUUGCUCGGCUUUUGUUACCGUGACUGAAGGCCACGGGGCAAUUUGUGAAGAAUGGAGGGUUAUUCGGCUCCCGCGCGGAGAACCACGGUCGUGGUGCCCGCCUCAAGUGAGGCCUGCUGGCCGGGGUGGGAGUGGAGGUGGGGCCCUCCCUUGACCUCAUCUGCCCUGAGGGCUUCCCGAAGGGCCCACCCCCUGACAGGAUGAGCCUGCGGUUAGGUUUCCCUAGCUGUGGGUUAAGGACAUGGAUCCCACGAGGGAGACAUGGAUGCCAGACGCAGAAUGAAGGCCACAGCCACCAGGGGGCAGUGUGCAGCAGGACAACCCCGAGGGAUGCGGUUCCUUGCCUUGCACCCUCUGCUGGAUGACGAUGACAACAUACCCCCCCCCCCCACAGUGUACCACCUCGGCGGGUCCUCGGAGCCUGUGACGACUGAGUAGAAGCGUGUGUGUGUAUGCACAGGUAUAUGACAUGUACACACACUGAGUAGAAGCGUGUGUGUGUAUGCACAGGUAUAUGACAUGUACACACACACUGAGUAGAAGCGUGUGUGUGUGCAUAUGCACAGGUAUAUGACAUGUACACACACUGAGUAGAAGCGUGUGUGUGUGCAUAUGCACAGGUAUAUGACAUGUACACACACACUGAGUAGAAGCGUGUGUGUGUGUGUAUGCACAGGUAUAUGCACAUGUACACACACACUGAGUAGAAGCGUGUGUGUGUAUGCACAGGUAUAUGACAUGUACACACACUGAGUAGAAGCGUGUGUGUGUGUAUGCACAGGUAUAUGACAUGUACACACACUGAGUAGAAGCGUGUGUGUGUAUGCACAGGUAUAUGACAUGUACACACACACUGAGUAGAAGCGUGUGUGUGUAUGCACAGGUAUAUGACAUGUACACACACACUGAGUAGAAGCGUGUGUGUGUGUAUGCACAGGUAUAUGACAUGUACACACACUGAGUAGAAGCGUGUGUGUGUGUGUAUGCACAGGUAUAUGACAUGUACACACACACUGAGUAGAAGCGUGUGUGUGUGUAUGCACAGGUAUAUGACAUGUACACACACACUGAGUAGAAGCGUGUGUGUGUGCAUAUGCACAGGUAUAUGACAUGUACACACACUGAGUAGAAGCAUGUGUGUGUGUGUAUGCACAGGUAUAUGACAUGUACACACACUGAGUAGAAGCGUGUGUGUGUGUGUAUGCACAGGUAUAUGACAUGUACACACACUGAGUAGAAGCGUGUGUGCGUAUGCACAGGUAUAUGCAUGUACACACUGAGUAGAAGUGUGUGUGUGUAUGCACAGGUAUAUGACAUGUACACACACUGAGUAGAAGCGUGUGUGUGUGUGCAUAUGCACAGGUAUAUUCACAUGUACACACACUGAGUAGAAGCGUGUGUGUGUGUAUGCACAGGUAUAUUCACAUGUACACACUGAGUAGAAGCGUGUGUGUGUGCAUAUGCACAGGUAUAUGACAUGUACACACACUGAGUAGAAGCGUGUGUGUGUGUGUAUGCACAGGUAUAUGCACAUGUACACACUGAGUAGAAGCAUGUGUGUAUGCGUAUGCACAGGUAUAUUCACAUGUGUACACACACGUGUGCGCUCUGCUCUCCCUCUGUUCAUGUAGGAGGUGACCGUCUGCCCCCUCCGGGACGGGCAGAAGUUGACCACUGAAGUCCCUCGUAGCCUGGAAUGGCACGGGGGACUCUGGAGAACCAACACCAAGCAGCCCCACCCCCGGCCGGGUACCUGCCCUCGUAUUGACCUUCCUUUGCUGCCCUAGAAAGUUGGAAACCUUCCCCGCAGCUUGUGGCCUCUCACGGGUGUUGCUCUCCGUUAAGACGUGACAUGAGCUGAGCCACUCACGGAGUACUGGUCCAUGUACACACAGUAACAAAGUAACAAACUUCUGUGCCUUUCACUCUUGUUUAUCUGUCUUGCCAGUCCAGCUUACAGAGCCUUAGCUAGGGGCUCCAAGAUGGCUAGAGGGAAAACCUCUCUAUAAUAGAGAAAUGGACAGCAGACAUGACCAGUUAAUUGUCCGGCGUCGCCAGCAUCCAGUACCAGACUGCUGGUUUGUGUCCCAGACGCUCUGCUUCUGACUGGCUUCCUGCCGAUGCACCCGGGAAGCAGCCGAUGAUGGCCCAAGUGCACCGGUCACCAUGCGGGAGACCCGGAUGGGGUUACUGGGUCCCUGGCCAUUGCAGUCAUUGGGGAAUGAAUCAACAGAUGGAAGCGUGCUCUCUCUCUCCCUUUCUCUUUCUCUGUCUGUGUUUAUGUCUCACUCUGCUUUUUCAAUAAAUAAAAAUUGAAAAUUACUCUAAGUUGCUCGGAACUCCCUAUUUGACUUACUGCUUAAAUAUCUUUGACAUGCAGGUUCAGAAUCAGGCCCACAGCACCACAGCAGACGCCUGGCUGCCCGUGCCAGCAGGGGCUGCCCUGGCUGCCUGGUCCCCCUCCCAGCUCCUCCCAGCAGCGUGGGGAGG